UACGUAGGGUGCAAGCGUUGUCCGGAAUUAUUGGGCGUAAAGAGCUCGUAGGCGGUUUGUCGCGUCGGCCGUGAAAUCUCCACGCUUAACGUGGAGCGUGCGGUCGAUACGGGCAGACUUGAGCUCGGUAGGGGAGACUGGAAUUCCUGGUGUAGCGGUGAAAUGCGCAGAUAUCGGGAGGAACACCUAGUGGCGAAGGCAGCUCGCUGGGACGU
rnacentral:rRNA from 1 species